UGACCUCGGAUCAGUCGUGAUUACCCGC
rnacentral:rRNA from 2 species